rnacentral:lncRNA from 1 species
AGAUGCUGUUGGCUUCCAGUAACAGUGGAAGAAAGACUAUUCUGGUAGUUCUCCCAAGCCCAGGGACUGCAGCUUAGCUCCUGCCGGAGACUUGUGGCAUCCUCUAACCCCUCAAAAGAUCGGUAUAGCUGAUAGCAUAACCCUAAACCAGGCUCCCAAUUUUGCAGAAAUGAAAAGUAGAAAGAAAAAAAAAAAGAGGCAGCGUCUGCAGAGGAGGAAGAAAGGCGGUUUGCAUGCAGAGGCGGCUUGCAUAUCCUAUGCUUUCAGACCCUGCUCAGUACCAGGAAGUCCCACCUUAGGCUUUCAAACCAGCUAUCAGCCUGCCUGCCUCUGGAAGGACAUUCUUGGUCAAGCACUUAGUGGUACAUCUUGCCUCUAUUACAAACUACAUUUUUGAAGGCUUGUGUAUUGGAGCUGAAGAGAUACCUCAGCAGUUAGGAGCACUGGCUACUAUUCCAGAAGAUGCAGGUUCAAUGCUCAGCACCCACAUGGCAGUUCACAACCAGAGGUAACUUCAUUCCUGGAGAGAAAUUUGGAAGCACAUGUCAAGAAACAGGGAACUAAAAGUCACCCAGGAUUCCACCCAUAUAGACACAGCUACAGAUUCUCAGAACUCCCCCUUCUGCAAGAAUAUCACAGCCUAGAAAGCCCACAAGUGUGGAUUUGAAGUGACACUAACAC